UGGCUGAGCAUCUUCGCAGCCCCGCCCAGCCCCUUGAGUCUCAUCACGCUGGUGACUCUCUGGCAUACUGUCUCUUCUGUUGUUUCUAUGUGCGCGGCGGAGAGAGAGGGGCCGGGUGUGGGCCUGUCCGAAAGCAGCAGCACGUCUUUCUUCGCCUCCUUCUCAUCAAUACCGAUUAAUUGUCUUAUCAUUAACACAUCAGCUGCGCGGGGGUAGCUGGCCAGGAUCUAGCUGGAGGCUAACGUCAGGUAGACCCUCAGCAC